AACGAACGCUGGCGGCAUGCCUAACACAUGCAAGUCGAACGAUACCUUCGGGUCUAGUGGCGCAAGGGUGCGUAACGCGUGGGAACCUGCCCUUAGGUUCGGAAUAACUCCCCGAAAGGGGUGCCAAUACCGGAUAAUGUCUUCGGACCAAAGAUUUAUCGCCUUUGGAUGGGCCCGCGUUGGAUUAGCUAGUUGGUAGGGUAAAAGCCUACCAAGGCGACGAUCCAUAGCUGGUCUGAGAGGAUGAUCAGCCACACUGGGACUGAGACACGGCCCAGACUCCUACGGGAGGCAGCAGUGGGGAAUAUUGGACAAUGGGCGAAAGCCUGAUCCAGCAAUGCCGCGUGAGUGAUGAAGGCCUUAGGGUUGUAAAGCUCUUUUACCCGGGAUGAUAAUGACAGUACCGGGAGAAUAAGCUCCGGCUAACUCCGUG
rnacentral:rRNA from 1 species